rnacentral:lncRNA from 1 species
AUGCUGAAGCUGCCCGGUCACACCACAGCCUCUGCCUCUUGCCCCUUCUUCUUUUGUGGGGAAGGGUCUCUCCCUCUCUCGGUCUCCCUCCAGAGCCCUCCCCGUCUCCUCCUUGGCUUGCAGACCCAACGGCUGGGGAAGGGAUUUUGUCCCCCACUCCCUCCAGUCGCUGCGCUUCCCGAGAUGAACGAAACACAACAUUCCAGGUGCAACAAACGCAAAUCUGUGGAAGGUGUCAGGAUCUGGCCUGUCGCCCCCCACUCCAGUGGGACCCCCAGCGCCCCCAGUGCUGCUGCUGCUGCUGCUGCUGCCCCCACGGCCGCUGGCUUUUUGCCCCACAUCUGGACGGCUGCCAGGAUCCCCGUUGCUCAGGACCCACAGGCUGCCAAGGGCCAGAGAUCCUUCCGUGGGGCCACCUGGAGGGCCCCCCAGAGGAGCCGGACCGCCAAGCCACCUGGGAGGGGCGAUGGCCUCCAGGACAGGCCUCCUUCCCGGGUGCCCUCUCCUCCUCCCGAACUCUCUCCCAUCCUUCUUUCCAGUUGUUCUACAACGCGGUCUCCAUCCACAACGGCUCUCCUGGAGGCCAGUCAGAACCUGAACCGAAGGCAGACCCUCCCACCCCCAUCGACUGCAGUGAUUUCUUCUACACGGACCCAGUGAUGGCUCCAGGACACCGGAUUUACAACUGGCUAUCCAGCUCCUCCCAGGAAAUCCUCCACCACCACCUGCACCUCAACACCCCGGCUCCCAUCAUGGCUAUCCGUGAAACUCCAGCAUCGGCACCACCCCCUCCUCCUCCUCUUCCUCCUCCAGCUCCUAAGCCUUCCACCUGCAGAGAGUGGCUCUCGGAUCUGGAGUGUGAAGUUGCCUGCGCCCUUCUGGAGCUGCCGGACGGAACGGAUUGGGACUCUGCUGGGGGCCGCCAAUCUCCUCCUCGGGUGGGAAAAGUGGAGGCGGGGAACGAGAAAACGACUGCUCCAGAUCGGCUCCUGUAAGCGGCCCGUGAUGGGGCUCUCAUGCCCCUGGGGGCAAGGCCAGAGAACCCCCUUCCUCACCUUAGGCCUGCCAGAGGUGUUUGGGGCUUUGGACCUCACAAUUCCUGGCCUUUGGCCAUGCUGGCCUGGGAUUCCUCUGGGCUCAGCUCCCAGAAUACCUGGCGGACCUGCACCUCGGCAGACGGAGACAUCUCUCCAGCCUGGCCCCAAAGGGCUUCUCCCUCAUGCUUUUGUGGGUGGAUGUGGCUGUAUUGGUUCUUGGAGGGGGGGGAAGAAGGCGGGAGAAGCCUGUGCAGAAAAGAGACCCUGAGCACCCCCAGCAGUGGAGCCAGGUGGAGGGGCAUUUAGACGGGGGCAAACAGGUGCCACUGGGGUAUCCGGUGGCUGGUUCACUUUUGAGAGGGUUGUUCCUGUUGCUUACGAGUUGAUUCCCCCGCCACCCCCGUUAGCCCUGGGUGGGAAAGUGUGUUUGUGUGUUGCUUGUUUUUUGGGGAGGGUGAGUGGGUGGAUGGGGAGGCCACCCUAGAUGGAGCUGGGAGCACAUCCGGUGGUGGACACACCCCUCCCUAAUUUCCCGUUUCUGUGUUCGUUGCACUUUGUUUCGAAAGCCCCCCCCCUUCCAAGGUGGGCUGGCUGCCGCGGAGGAAUAAAAUUCGUUCCACUCGUUCGGGAGGGGCCUGC